ACUGGACGGAGAACUGAUAAGGGC
rnacentral:ncRNA from 2 species